GACGUAGGGGGCGAGCGUUGUCCGGAUUCAUUGGGCGUAAAGAGCGCGUAGGCGGCCCGGAAAGUGGGGUGUGAAAACCCGGGGCUCAACCCCGGGCCGCAUUCGAUACGGGCAGACUGGAGUACUGCAGGGGAGACUGGAAUUCCUGGUGUAGCGGUGGAAUGCGCAGAUAUCAGGAGGAACACCGGUGGCGAAGGCGGGUCUCUGGGCAGUAACUGACGCUGAGGAGCGAAAGCGUGGGGAGCGAACAGG
rnacentral:rRNA from 1 species